UGCGGUCGAUGCGAGGCCCCGG
rnacentral:miRNA from 1 species